rnacentral:rRNA from 1 species
AAUCAACGCUGGCGGCGUGCCUCAGACAUGCAAGUCGAACGAUUAAAGCUCUCUUCGGAGAGUGUAUAGAGUGGCGCACGGGUGAGUAACACGUAAGUAAUCUACCUUCGAGUGGGAGUAACGUCCGGAACGGACGCUAAUACCGCAUAAUGCAGCGGCAUCGCAAGAUGACAGUUGUUAAAGAUUUAUCGCUUGAAGAGGAGCUUGCGGCAGAUAGUCUAGUUGGUAAGGUAAUGGCUUACCAAGGCUACGAUCUGUAACCGGUCUAAGAGGACGGUCGGUCACACUGACACUGAAUAACGGGUCGAGACUCCUACGGGAGGGCAG